AUUGAACGCUGGCGGCAUGCCUUACACAUGCAAGUCGAACGGUAACAGGUCUUCGGAUGCUGACGAGUGGCGAACGGGUGAGUAAUACAUCGGAACGUGCCUAGUAGUGGGGGAUAACUACUCGAAAGAGUGGCUAAUACCGCAUGAGAUCUACGGAUGAAAGCAGGGGAUCGCAAGACCUUGUGCUACUAGAGCGGCCGAUGGCAGAUUAGGUAGUUGGUGGGAUAAAAGCUUACCAAGCCGACGAUCUGUAGCUGGUCUGAGAGGACGAUCAGCCACACUGGGACUGAGACACGGCCCAGACUCCUACGGGAGGAAGCAGUGGGGAAUUUUGGACAAUGGGCGCAAGCCUGAUCCAGCAAUGCCGCGUGCAGGAUGAAGGCCUUCGGGUUGUAAACUGCUUUUGUACGGAACGAAAAGCCCUGGGUUAAUACCCUGGGGUCAUGACGGUACCGUAAGAAUAAGCACCGGCUAACUACGUGCCAGCCGCCGCAAUAAAAC
rnacentral:rRNA from 1 species